rnacentral:rRNA from 1 species
AUGCUGGUCCCAGCGCCUUACAAGGCGCCGAAGAAAGAGGCCUUCAAGGAGGCCAAGGAGACCCGGAGCAGCCUCCGUCGCAGCGGUGCUUCAGACACAAAAUCCGAAGACUCCAACGCCCAUCCUUCCUCCGAAGAUGAAGAGGAGGAGGAAGAAGAUGAAUCCUCCAUGGGGGAAGGGAAGAAAAAGACGGCCUCCUCAUCCUUGGAGGCUGAAUCGCCGAAGAGGAAAAAAAAUCCCCUUCCAGAGGCGUCCACCACGGCUACCAAUAGCAGUCCGGAGUGGGAUCCCAGGGCCCAGCCCCUGGUAAAAUCGUGA